CCUACGGGAGGCAGCAGUGAGGAAUAUUGGUCAAUGGCCGUAAGGCUGAACCAGCCAAGUCGCGUGAAGGAAGAAGGAUCUAUGGUUUGUAAACUUCUUUUAUAGGGGAAUAAAGGUAUCCACGUGUGGAUAUUUGCAUGUAACCUAUGAAUAAGCAUCGGCUAACUCCGUGCCAGCAGCCGCGGUAAUACGGAGGAUGAGAGCGUUAUCCGGAUUUAUUGGGUUUAAAGGGUGCGUAGGUUGUUUUUUAAGUCAGCGGUGAAAGUUUGUGGCUCAACCAUAAAAUUGCCGUUGCAACUGGAAGACGUGAUUGUGUUUGAGGUAGGCGGAAUGCGUGGUGUAGCGGUGAAAUGCAUAGAUAUCACGCAGAACUCCGAUUGCGAAGGCAGCUUACUAAGCCAUAACUGACACUGAAGCACGAAAGCGUGGGGAUCAAACAGGAUUAGAUACCCUUGUAGUC
rnacentral:rRNA from 1 species